rnacentral:rRNA from 1 species
AGAGUUUGAUCCUGGCUCAGAAUGAACGCUAGCGGCGUGCUUAACACAUGCAAGUCGUACGAGAACUCUUUAGCUUGCUAAAGAUAGUAAAGUGGCGCACGGGUGAGUAACGCGUGGGUAAUCUACCUCUAAAUUUGGGAUAACUCCGCGAAAGCGGGGCUAAUACCGGAUAAUAUUUCAGAAUCUUCGGGUUUUGAAAUCAAAAGUGGCCUCUACAUAUAAGCUACUGUUUGGAGAUGAGCCCGCGUACCAUUAGCUUGUUGGUAGGGUAAUGGCCUACCAAGGCUACGAUGGUUAGCUGGUUUGAGAGGAUGAUCAGCCACACUGGAACUGACAUACGGUCCAGACUCCUACGGGAGGCAGCAGUGAGGAAUUUUGCGCAAUGGGGGAAACCCUGACGCAGCAACGCCGCGUGAGUGAUGAAGGCUUUCGGGUCGUAAAGCUCUGUCAAGUGGGAAGAACAUAAGAAAUGUUAAUAUCAUUUUUUACUGACGGUACCACUAAAGGAAGCACCGGCUAACUCCGUGCCAGCAGCCGCGGUAAUACGGGGGGUGCAAGCGUUAUUCGGAAUUAUUGGGCGUAAAGGGCGCGUAGGCGGUCUUUUAAGUCAGAUGUGAAAGCCCGGGGCUUAACCCCGGAAGUGCAUUUGAAACUGAAGGACUUGAGUAU